rnacentral:rRNA from 1 species
UAAUACGUAGGUGGCGAGCGUUAUCCGGAAUUAUUGGGCGUAAAGGGCGCGUAGGCGGCUUGUUAAGUCAGUUGUGAAAGCCCACGGCUUAACCGUGGAGGGUCAAUUGAAACUGACAAGCUUGAGUGCAGGAGAGGAAAGUGGAAUUCCAAGUGUAGCGGUGAAAUGCAUAGAGAUUUGGAGGAACACCAGUGGCGAAGGCGACUUUCUGGCCUGUAACUGACGCUGAGGCGCGAAAGCGUGGGGAGCAAACAGG